CCCUUAGAUGUUCUGGGCGGCCCGCGCACUACACUGGCACUCUCAAUCAGAGCCUGGAUCUAACACUUUGGGGUAUUCUAUGAAGUGGUGUCGUGACUGGGAUUAACCCUUGCAAUUAUUGGUUACGAACGAGGAAUUCCUUGUAAUCGCGGUUUAUCAGCCCGCGUUGAAUGCGUCCCUGCCCUUUGUACACACCGCCCGUCGCUCCUACCGAUGGAUCGUCCGGUGAAGCUCAUGGAGGGGCGGUUGUCUCAGCCGCCGUCGAAGUGAAAUGGACCUCACGAUCUAGAGGAAGGAGAAGUCGUAACA
rnacentral:rRNA from 1 species